UUAUACACGAAUAAUGAACAGAAGCCAGUAUUUUAUUACAAUUACAGAAUCACCGAGACAUAGAAUAUACAUCAUUAAUCCUCCACUACAUUUUUUCCCACCACUACACCUACUCUUCCACCAUCCACUCCACCACACUUCCCACCAUCCUUUUCUCCCCACCAACUCCACAACCACCAACUCCCCCACCAUACUAGUGCAGCAACAACUCUUCCUUAUCUUAGUCUCAACUUCAGCCAAGCAACGCAAGACUCACUAUCACUUUUCACCAAGAAUCUCCCAAAGAGCAGGGGAGCCUCCAUUUCAACCUGCCAAUGUUUUCAAGUUUCAAUUCAUUCAAUGCACUACAACCGAAAAGUGAGAGAAAUCACUCAUUCACUCUCUGCCAGAAACAUUAAGGUAAAAAAAUUAGUAUUGAUUCAUCAUCUCCUUCCAAUUACAACUUACAGUUAUUGAAAGAAACAAGUUUGAUCUUUCAGUUCAGUCAUUCCAGUUCUUUUAACUCAACAUCACAGCAGCCAACCAAGCCCAAAACAUUCGCAAGAUGACGUCAACGCUGACCGAUGAAGAGGAGAUGGAGGUCGUCAGCUGAGCAGAGGCGACAUCGCCUGAACCAAGAGAGAGAGAGAGGCUUGAGCUGGUUCUUGAGCAGAUGACAGAUUUCAGCGGCAUCUCCUGCUGCCUGACGGAGCUCAACGGACAGAGAAGGAAGAGCCGAACGCCGGAGAAGCAGCGGCGAAGUACCCUCGCCGAUUCUGGACAGCAGCGGCGGCGGCACCCGCCUCGGCUGAGGUCGGAUCGAGAGGUGAAGGGGACGGCGACGCGGUAACCGUGGAAGACCGGCGGCGGCGCUCCCAGACGACGUCCGCUGACCACCGGACGAGCAGCAGCAACUCCAGUCGGCGACGACUCCAGGCGAAGCAGCAGCAGUCGGCGGCGAUUUCAGACGGGGACGCGGAGCAGCGGUGACCUGGUAAUUGAAAGUUAGAGCUCGAUCUGGGUUCCGCGGUCGGAUUUGAGAUGAAGGUCGGAGUUUGAAACCUCAGGGAAGAGUUAGGGCUCGACGUCGGAGGGGGAUUUGAGAACCGGAGUUGGACGGCGCCGCUCCCAGCCGACGAUGCUCGCCGGAUUCCGAACGAAGGAGUAGCAGCGGUGUUCCAGAUUUUAGGGCUCGAUUUUGGGGCUCUGCGGGGAGGAGAGAGAACGGCGCCGGGGUUAGACUCGUCGCCGGUCGAAGCCAACCGAAGCAGAUGACAGCUGAACGCCCGGAGGAGGCGCAGCCUGCCAGAUUUAGCCGGAGAAGGUGAAGCCGAUCAGAGUUUUGAGGAUGCCGAGCGUAAGCUUUGAGGAAGAGUGAUGAGCGGCUCCUUGAGUUGGGAUUAGAGAGAGACAGCAGCAGAAGCUCGGCCGGCGCGGCUUCGCCGGAGAGGGAAAGAGAAUUUGAGAAGAGAAGAAAAAGAGGGCAGCGGCGAGUUUGAGAAGAGAGAAAAAUGAAGGACCGAGAAUUUGAGAAGAGAAGAAAAAGAGAUGGGCUUGAUUUGGGCUCUUUCCUUUUAAAUUUUUGGGCUUGUCAUUUUAUUUGGUUUGGGCCAUUGCAUUUAUUUACUUUGGGCCUCUUUUAUUAAUUUAAUUGGGCUGCUUCUUAUUUUCUUGAUGGGCCGAUAUUUAGGCUGAGUUUAUUAAAGAAUGAGCUGAAUUUAUUUCUUUUAAGUGAACUGAAUUCAUAGGCUCCUCCCUAUUCAUUUUCAGUUGGGCCGACUUUAUAAAGAAUGAGCUAGAGAUAUUUUAUUGU